GCUGUGCUACCGUCCGACUCCCGGUAGUUAAGCUUCUAAGACUCCAGACACAUCCAAAUGAGGCGCUGCAUGUGGCAGUCUGCCUUUCUUU
rnacentral:snRNA from 1 species